GACGAACGCUGGCGGCGUGCCUAACACAUGCAAGUCGAACGGAAAGGCCCUGCUUUUGUUGCGUGCUCGAGUGGCGAACGGGUGAGUAACACAUGAGUAACCUGCCCUUGACUUUGGGAUAACUUCAGGAAACUGGGGCUAAUACCGGAUAUGAGCUCCUGCUGCAUGGUGGGGGUUGGAAAGUUUCGGCGGUUGGGGAUGGAUUCGCUGCUUAUCGGCUUGUUGGUGGGGUAGUGGCUUACCAAGGCUUUGACGGGUAGCCGGCCUGAGCGGGUGACCGGCCACAUUGGGACUGAGAGACGGCCCAGACUCCUACGGGAGGCAGCAGUGGGGAAUAUUGCACAAUGGGCGGAAGCCUGAUGCAGCAACGCCGCGUGCGGGAUGACGGCCUUCGGGUUGUAAACCGCUUUCGCCUGUGACGAAGCGUGAGUGACGGUAAUGGGUAAAGAAGCACCGGCUAACUACGUG
rnacentral:rRNA from 1 species